GGCAAAAUCUUCAAAAAGUCUGGAAAGGAAGACUCUGGUGGAACUUUCAGAGCUAACUUCAAGACCAACAUCGCAGAACUGGCCCCGAAAGAGCCCUGUGAGGACAUAGUGAGAAGGCAGUCCUCUACAAGUCAACAAGAGAGCUCUCACAGCAAACCAACUUCCAGACCUUGAUCUUGAACUUCCAGCCUCCAGAACUCCAACACAGGUUUGAUCCUUGGUCCAGGAAGAUCCCAUAUGCCAACAAGCAACUAAACCUGUGCACCCAACUACUGAGCCUGCGUGCUUAGAGCCUGUGUUCCGCAGCAAGAGAAGCCACCGCAUGAGAAGUCCACGCACCAUAACUGGAGAGUAGCUCCCAC
ensembl:lncRNA